GUGGAUUAGAUACCCGAGUAGUCCACGCCCUAAACGAUGGAUACUCGAUGUCGGGUCGCAAGGCCCGGUGUCCAAGCUAACGCGUUAAGUAUCCCACCUGGGGAGUACGAUCGCAAGGUUGAAACUCAAAGGAAUUGACGGGGGCCCGCACAAGCAGUGGAGCAUGUGGUUCAAUUCGAUGCAACGCGAAGAACCUUACCUGGGUUUGAAAGGCAAGUGACAACCGGUGAAAGUCGGUCUCCCCGCAAGGGGCACUUGUACAGGUGCUGCACGGCUGUCGUCAACU
rnacentral:rRNA from 1 species